AGUGAACGCUGGCGGUAGGCCUAACACAUGCAAGUCGAACGGCAGCACAGUAAGAGCUUGCUCUUACGGGUGGCGAGUGGCGGACGGGUGAGGAAUACAUCGGAAUCUACUUUUUCGUGGGGGAUAACGUAGGGAAACUUACGCUAAUACCGCAUACGACCUACGGGUGAAAGCAGGGGAUCUUCGGACCUUGCGCGAUUGAAUGAGCCGAUGUCGGAUUAGCUAGUUGGCGGGGUAAAGGCCCACCAAGGCGACGAUCCGUAGCUGGUCUGAGAGGAUGGUCAGCCACACUGGAGCGGGAACACGGUCCAGACUCCUACGGUAGGCAGCAGUGGGGAAUGUGGGACAAUGGGCGCAAGCCUGAUCCAGCCAUACCGCGUGGGUGAAGAAGGCCUUCCGGUUGUAAAGCCCUUUUGUUGGGAAAGAAAAGCAGCAGGUUAAUACCCCGCUGUUCUGACGGUACCCAAAGAAUAAGCACCGGCUAACUUCGUG
rnacentral:rRNA from 1 species